rnacentral:lncRNA from 1 species
UAUAUCUCCUUUAAUCUUUACAACCCUCUAAAUUGGAUGUUAUUUCUGUCUCUAGUUUACAGAUGAGGGAACCAAGGUACUCAAAGAAUCUCUCACAAAGGAGGAUUGGAUACUGAUAAUGCUGUUGGAAAUUAUUGUUCAGAUGAUGUGAAAUCUGAGCUCAAGUUUGAGAACCCGUGGCCUAGAAGAAAAUCAAAAUAUGGAUAAUAGUACUUGCUCUGGCUCAUCCAAAAGUUCUCAAGUAUAAAGUACUUUGUAAAACUGAAAGUACAACAUAAAAAAAUGUGAAUUAUUGUUAACUCUCUCAAUUUAUAGAAAAGGAAAUGGAAACGCAAUGAGAUAGAGUACUUGCUGAAGGGCAGAGUCAGUAGCAAAACUGAGGCUUCUUUAAUUGAGGCUCCU